AUCUAGCUGACCAGUUGCAUAUAGGAUGGAACUCGAGUCCUAGAU
rnacentral:hammerhead_ribozyme from 1 species